AUGUGGUCCCCGCAGAGAGGCUAGUGGACCACAUCUAUUGCUGCCCUCUAAACUUUACAGGGCAAAACUUCGCCCCUGAAACAGCUUAGGUGGAUCAUCAAGGUUGGUGUUAACGAAGGUGCCAUGCAGUCACUCCAAGACGUCUGCAACUGUGACAGGGACGGGCCUACGCGUGGCCAAGCCCACUGCAUUGAUGCCCUCAAAGCAAUAAAAGUUGUUCUCACUUGUGUUUUUCGCUUA